AGAGGGUGCGAGCGUUAAUCGGAAUUACUGGGCGUAAAGGGCACGUAGGUGGAGUUGCAAGUCAUAUUUGAAAGCCCCGGGCUUAACCUGGGGAUGUGAUGUGAAACUGCGAAUCUAGAGUAUGUCAGAGGGUAGUGGAAUUUCCGGUGUAGCGGUGAAAUGCGUAGAUAUCGGAAAGAACACCAGUGGCGAAGGCGGCUACCUGGGAUAAUACUGACACUGAGGUGCGAAAGCGUGGGUAGCAAACAGGAUUAGAUACCCUGGUAGUCCACGCCGUAAACGAUGAAGACUAGCCCGUUGGGAACAAAUAGUUUUUAGUGGCGUAGCUAACGCGAGAAGUUUUCCGCCUGGGGGAGUACGGCCGCAAGGUUA
rnacentral:rRNA from 1 species